AUACGGAGGGUGCAAGCGUUAAUCGGAAUUACUGGGCGUAAAGCGUACGUAGGCGGUCCGUUAAGUUAGAUGUGAAAGCCCCGGGCUUAACCUGGGAACUGCAUUUAAAACUGGCGGACUAGAGUUUAGUAGAGGGGAGUGGAAUUUCAGGUGUAGCGGUGAAAUGCGUAGAGAUCUGAAGGAACACCAGUGGCGAAGGCGACUCCCUGGACUAAAACUGACGCUGAGGUACGAAAGCGUGGGUAGCAAACAGGAUUAGAUACCCCAGUAGUCC
rnacentral:rRNA from 1 species